rnacentral:rRNA from 1 species
GCUCGUAGUUGAAUUUCUGGUCUCGGGCUUCGGUCUGCCUCAAACGAGGUACGCACCAGUUGUCUGAAUCCAUCCUCGGGGAGAACAUAUGUGUCAUUUGGUUGAUGUGUAUGGGAUCCUCGUCAUUUACUGUGAGCAAAAUAGAGUGUUCAAAGCAGGCUUAUGCCGUUGAAUACAUUAGCAUGGAAUAAUAAGAUAAGACCUUGGUCUAUUUUGUUGGUUUGUACUCCAAGGUAAUGAUUAAUAGGGAUAGUUGGGGGUAUU